GACGAACGCUGGCGGCGUGGAUUAGGCAUGCAAGUCGAACGGUAUCAUCCUUUCGGGGGUGAGAGAGUGGCGAACUGGUGAGUAACACGUAGGUUAUCUACCCUCAAGACGGGGACAACCCAGGGAAACUUGGGCUAAUACCGGAUGUGAGCAACUUUUAGUUGUUUGAAAGGUGGCGUAAGCUGUCGCUUGGGGAUGAGCCUGCGUCCUAUUAGUUAGUUGGUGAGGUAACGGCUCACCUAGGCAAUGAUAGGUAGGCGGCCUUAACGGGUGGUCGCCCACACUGGGAUUGAGAUACGGCCCAGACUCCUACGGGAGGCAGCAGUCGAGAAUAGUCUACAAUGGUCGGAAGACUGAUAGUGCGACGCCGCGUGAACGAUGAAUCCCUUCGGGGGUGUAAAGUUCUUUUAUAUGUGAGCAGUGCUUCUUAUAUUAACAGUAUGGGGAGAGAGAUAUUAGCAUAUGAAUAAGCAACGGCUAACUCCGUGCCAGCAGCCGCGGUAAUA
rnacentral:rRNA from 1 species